rnacentral:rRNA from 1 species
GUACACUCCUGCGGGAGGCAGCAGUGGGGAAUUUUGGACAAUGGGCGAAAGCCUGAUCCAGCAAUGCCGCGUGAGUGAAGAAGGCCUUCGGGUUGUAAAGCUCUUUUGUCAGGGAAGAAACGGUGAAAGCUAAUAUCUUUUGCUAAUGACGGUACCUGAAGAAUAAGCACCGGCUAACUACGUGCCAGCAGCCGCGGUAAUACGUAGGGUGCAAGCGUUAAUCGGAAUUACUGGGCGUAAAGCGUGCGCAGGCGGUUUUGUAAGUCUGAUGUGAAAUCCCCGGGCUCAACCUGGGAAUUGCAUUGGAGACUGCAAGGCUAGAAUCUGGCAGAGGGGGGUAGAAUUCCACGUGUAGUAGUGAAAUGCGUAGAUAUGUGGAGGAACACCGAUGGCGAAGGCAGCCCCCUGGGUCAAGAUUGACGCUCAUGCACGAAAGCGUGGGGAGCAAACAGGAUUAGAUACCCGAGUAGUCCCAUG